GCGUCGUAGUGUCGUAGUGUCGAGUUUUGUUCAUGCUGUCGACGUUUACUGCGUUACCUCGCAUUGUGUGUAGUGUGUUGCGGUUACUGACGUAAGCGCAAGUUCUUCACUGAGUAUGAUGCGCGGCAGCGUGCAAAUAGUCACCAGAUGCCGGCCGUGCGACUCCGUUCUCUGCGACUCCUUUGUUCGGUGCGAUAGAGGGACGUGAUUCAUGCUUUGGAGACCCUCUUUAGACCGUGCCCUCAUCAAAUGUUUCCACACAUCAGUGAGUAGCAGCACCGCAAUCCUUACUCGACGACACGCUCUGUGGGCCUGGAAAAUGCCUUGACGUUCGAGCACUUCGGGAGCUAUACCGGCGGACAGCCGGACGCGGGUAGCUUGGCCGUUCCUUGCUCUGCACAUCGCUUGAAAACCGGCGGUCAUCCUGCAGCGUACGCUGCCGGCGUGCUUUCUUGCCAGAGCCGCCUCCCCUGCUGGUGAUGACCAUAUGCAGCCAAUGCUGAUGUGAACCUGAGUGAUGAACAAAUGCAGAUCUGCAAAGGAGCUGUCCUGAAGCACCAUGCUUACUCAAGUCAUGCAGCGAGAGUCAGGUAAAUGCAUGCCUGGAAAGGUACUUCAAAGCACACCCAAUCUGGCUGACUGCACUACCUCAAGAAAACUGCCUUUCUACCAUCUGCAAGUUCCUAAGAAGCUACUUUAUGAAGCAAGCUAGCAAGGCGUACGUGUUAGGCAUGGCAGCACAGAGAACAAA